UCAUCAUGCACAUUGGAGACACCAUAGAGAUUCUCAGCAAUGGUAAGUACAAGAGUAUUCUUCACAGGGGACUGGUCAACAAGGAGAAGGUGAGGAUUUCAUGGGCAGUUUUCUGCGAGCCGCCUAAGGAGAAGAUCAUCCUGAAGCCACUGCCAGAGACGGUGUCUGAGACUGAGCCACCACUCUUCCCACCUCGCACCUUUUCCCAACAUAUUCAGCACAAGCUCUUCAGGAAGACCCAGGAGGCUCUACUCUCCAAAUGAGCUGUAGCCUUGUUGUAUUUCAUCUGCUAUACUAAGCUCUCUAUUUGGCUGUUUUGUUACAGUUUGGUCUGUGUUUCAAGCUUCCCAAUCUUUGAUCAUGGCAGGUAUAGGCCAUCAUAUAUGUUUGUUUCUCUGCCUGCUUUUAUUUAAUAAAAUUCGAGAUUUCUAUUCUUCUUUUGUGCACAACCAAGUUUUGGAUUUGAAUUACCAAUGUCAUUAUGCAUUAAUUCUCAAGCUACUUGUAUUGAAAAAUAAAGCCAAUAUGGUAAUGGUAUGAGUGGUG
rnacentral:lncRNA from 1 species